rnacentral:lncRNA from 1 species
UUCCUUUCACCCAUUCAGUCCCUUGCUCUGUCUUUCUCCCCAGCUCUGUGGAGUUCUCACGUUGAUUUUUGUGGAGAUUAGCCAUGAAUUGCAUGGCAACCAGGGAGAGUGACAGUUCAAGGCAGACCUGCUCUUGGGCCCUGAAACUUGCUUCCAGCUACCUCAGCAAGUUAAUAUAAACUUGGGUAGAAAAAUGGAAUCUGCAUCUGUGGAGAGCAUUAUAUCUGACCUGAAGAAGAGGGUUAGAUGAUCUGUCCCCAGUUGAAUGCUAUUGUCGUCAGAGUGAAGGAUGCCAGUUUCAAUGACUGCAGUGCCAUAUUCGACA